UUCCCAGGCGAUGAUGGGGAUGGGAGCCCAUGGCUCAGGGUCAUUGUCAGCAAUGCUGCAUUCAGGGUUUCGAAGGAGCAGAAGUGCUGACCAAAGGGAUUUGGUCAUGGCUGUCAAACGCCAUCCUAGUCCAGUCACUUGGAGCUCUUUCUGUGUUUGCUCUGUGUCUGGCUGCAACGAGAGUUCCAAUCUUCUUUUGGCGACGGUUGGAUGCUGACAAGAUGAACGUCAGCGUCACGUUACUCGUGACAUGACCAUUGCACAACGAGGGGGCUGGAAACCAGGGGGCUUUGGGGUUCUCCAACAGUUUUCACGCUUUGGAAAAAUUUGUGUCACAGCCAUGAGUAUCUCUCCCGAUGCAAACGCUAGCCUAGUCAAUCUCUGUGAUUGUCCUUCUGGAAAGGAUGGCACUGACUCCUCUCCUUUGCGUUCUGCAGCUGUACUUCUUCUACAGCCCCUUCUUUGAGAGAGAGUGCCCGCUACUCCUGAGGAUGUGCAGGCAAAGCCCUGGGGAAAGAGAGCGAGCGCCGGCUGCAGCCCCACGGAGCCCAAAGCAGGGGGGCAAACGCAAAAGAAAGCAACGCGUUUAUCCUCCAGAAGUGGAAGAAGGUGUGGAGGAGGAAGAGAACAACCUCCAGUGCCAUGCAGACACCAGCCGCACAGCGACCCAGCCGUGGACUGAUCCAGACGCUCCAAGCACCAGUGCUGGUCCAACCCCAGCCAAACGGUGCCGCAUCCACAGACCCGAUGGCAUCCAGGAGGCAGCUCGGGCUCCAUCCAUGGCUUCACCCCAGCGCUGCACACCUCCCACCUCGCCUGAUAUGGAGACCCCUCCAGGCCCAUCUUGGUGGCCCUCGUCUGCUUCCAGGCUGCAUGGCAGGAAGCGCCCCCUGCAACUCCGGGCAGAAAAGUGUGUGAGGGAUGGAAUGUCAGCACCUCGUGCUGCUCCCGUGCCACGGCCAGCGCACGGCCAAAUGGCAGCAGGACCGGAGGAGGAGGAGAACGACCUCCAAAACAGUGCAGCCGCCAGCCCCACAACAAACGAGCCGUGGGCUGACCCAGACGCCCCGAGCACCAGUGCUGGUCCACCCCCAGCCAAACGGUGCCGCACACAUAGCCCCGAUGGCGUCCAGGACGCAGAUCUGGUUCCAUCAUCACCUCCACCCCAGCGCCGCUCACCUCCUUCCCCACCAUUCUUCAUGCCUCCUCCAUACCUAGAUUGGUGGCUCAAUUUCCAUGCUGUGCAGGCACCCUGGAAUGGCCUGCUUCCAUUCCGCCCUCCAGAGCCUGAGCCAGAGGAACCACCGGUACUUUCUGCCUCUCCCCCGCCAAGGCCACCGCAAAGCCCAGCUGGAAGGUUCCGGCACUGCCCAACGUGCUACUGCCCACCAAACCCCUGGGCUGCUGGCCAAGGGGAUGGACCUUAGUGGGGGCGGAUGAGCAAUAGCAGUGGUCUAGGAGACCGAAUGGUGUUGUAGACGUAGAAACAUGUUCGUCUAGGAAGAAGGAAUAAAACAGUGUUUGUUGUUGUCAAAAAUGCCUCUUUUUGAGUUGCCUUGUCCUGUCUCUGCUGCCUCUAGUUGCUCUCCUGACAUCCAGCAUGGCCUUCAGGAGUAUGAAAGCUUUGGCCCCAGCCUGCAAAAGCCAAGGGCCCCACGUGCGCUCAGCACAACUCAGCAAAACACCAACCUGGGGCUGCUCCAGCAGCUGCACCAGCACCCAGGGCCACUCCGGACAAACCAGUGCCCCAGAGCUCUUGGGGAGCCCACGGCCCUUCCUCCCCCGGCUCAGAGCGGGGCCGACGGGCAGCAGGGCCGCAGGGAGCACACUUGGCCUCCUCCUGCCCGUCCUACAUCCCCUCCAGGGAUGGCUGCAGCCUCGCAGCUGGCAAAGCCACAACACCCAGGCUCCUCAGGCGCUCCUCACAGGACAUGACUUCCCGUCCUCUCAGCACCUUGCUUGCCCUCCUCUGGACAACUUCCGAUCCCUUUCAAACACCACGGCCCGAACUGCACACAGCGCUCAAGCUGAGGCUGCGGCAACGCCAAACACAGCAUUCACCGCUCUUGACCGCUCGGGCUGUGUUGGAUGCGCCCCACGAUGCCGUUUGCCCUCUCAGCUGCCCGGGCAUUCGGCUGGCUCCCACCCGGCUGCCGCCCACCAGCAGCCACAUCCUUCAUCCUUCUCGGCAGGCCUCCUUUCCAGCCAGUCCUCUCCCACUUUAUCCUUGUGACUGGCGUGAAACCCUCCCACGUGCAGAAGCCAGCAUUUGCUCCUCUUCCAUUUCACGCAAGUGAUGGUGGAAAUCCCAGAGUGGGGGUAACUCCAUGGGAGAAGGCACAGGUCUUUCUGCAUGGGGAGAAGGUGCCCAAGGGAAGAGCUUCAGCUCUGGGGCUCUCUGAUGCCCAGUGCUGCAGCCUUCCCCAUCCCUCCCCGGGGACCAAUUCUCAUGGAGAAUGGGACGCCCGUUCCAGCUGCAAAUGCAGUUGGAUUCCUUCUGGGAUUUUCACUCCUCUGGUGCGUGUGGAUGACGCUGGUUGUGGCUCUGGCUUUCCUGGUGGAGCCGCUGGGGAAGGAGGGGUAAAGGCAGGCAUCCCCAUCACAGCACUUCAUCCCCUUUGCAGCCUCCAAGCCCAAAGGCAGGUCGAGCGCAGAGACCCGAGAGGCCACAGAUUUGGGUGGGAAUAAAUAACCUGGGGUUUCUCUGCCGCUUGCAAGGGAUCUGGAAAUGCUGGGCGGAAUACCCCCGAGUAGGACCUGGACCCUCGAUGCAGGGCUCUGCCGGCCACGGAGAUGAGGGACGUCAACAUCAGCUUCCCCGACCCCGUUGACUAUGGUAACUGAGACCUAAAUUUACCUUGUUGUGGACUAUCUGGACACUGAACUACCAGCUACUAUGGGGAAAAGCUGCUUACACUGAUAAUCCAUCUUUCUUACUGAUCUUUCCCUGCUUCUUUCUACAGCGGUGAAGAGCUUGGAUUGCCGCUUGCAAAGUCACCCUCACCUUCCAGACACCCCAUUGACGUGUUUCACGUUGCAACGUGCUUCUCCGAGUUGCUCAGCUAUUUGUCCAUGUGGCAAUUUUCUCUUCUUCCACCCCUUCCUCCGGGUUUGAACUGAGCUUAAUCCUCCCCGGUGAUCCGGGGGGAAACUCCCCACCCCGUGCAGCAGCACCUGGCCCCAAUCCAGGCCACGCGGAGCUCUCUGCCACCAAUCAGCCUCUCUUUUGAGAUGAUGCCGCGUGGAGCUGCCAAUGCAGCCUCACAGGAGCCUGUGCAGACAGCGGGUUGUGCUAUGCUCGCUGCCGGGCUCGUUCUUCGUGCCUGCACACCUCACACAGAUUCCCCUAACCCUCAGCCUUUCAUUUACUUAGGAUCUAACUUGGUUACGGAGGCUACUGAGAAAGAAGACGGCGACCUCCACAUGGAGGCAGGCAGAAGGGACGUCUGGCGUCUUGCUCAAGAGUGGACGGGUUCUUGUUCUUCCAAGCCGGGAUGGCACUGACUCCUCUCCUUUGCGUUCUGCAGCUGUACUUCUUCUACAGCCCCUUCUUUGAGAGAGAGUGCCCGCUACUCCUGAGGAUGUGCAGGCAAAGCCAUGGGCAAAGAGAGUGAAGCCCGGCUGCAGCCCCACGGAGCCCAAAGCAGGGGGGCAAACGCAAAAGAAAGCAACGGGUUUAUCCUCCAGAAGUGGAAGAAGGUGUGGAGGAGGAAGAGAACAACCUCCAGUGCCACGCAGAGCCCAGCCGCACAGCGACCCGGCCGUGGACUGAUCCAGACGCUCCAAGCACCAGUGCUGGUCCAACCCCAGCCAAACGGUGCCGCAUCAACAGCCCCGAUGGCAUCCAGGAGGCAGCUCGGGUUCCAUCCGACGCUUCACCCCAGCGCUGCACACCUCCCACCUCGCCUGAUAUAGAGACCCUUCCAGGCCCAUCUUGGUGGCCCUCGUCUGCUUCCAGGCUGCAUGGCAGGAAGCACCCCCUGCAACUCCGGGCAGAAGAGUGUGCGAGGGAUGGACUGUCAGCACCUCGUGCUGCUCCCGUGCCACGGCCAGCGCACGGCCAAAUGGCAGCAGGACCGGAGGAGAACAACCUCCAGAACCGCGCAGCCGCCAGCCCCACAACAAACGAGCCGUGGGCUGACCCAGACGCCCCGAGCACCAGUGCUGGUCCACCCCCAGCCAAACGGUGCUGCACACACAGCCCCGAUGGCGUCCAGGACGCGGAUCCGGUUCCAUCAUCACCUCCACCCCAGCGCCGCUCACCUCCUUCCCCACCAUUCUUCAUGCCUCCUCCAUACCUAGAUUGGUUGCUCAGUCUCCAUGCUGUGCAGGCACCCUGGAAUGGCCUGCUUCCAUUCCGCCCUCCAGAGCCUGAGCCAGAGGAACCACCGGCACCUUCUGCCUCUCCCCCGCCAAGGCCACCGCAACGCUCAGCUGGAAGGUUCCGGCACUGCCCAACGUGCUACUGCCGACCAAACCCCUGGGCUGCCGGACAAGGGGAUGGACCUUAGUGGGGGCGGAUGAGCAAUAGCAGUGGUCUAGGAGACCGAAUGGUAUUGUAGAUGUAGAAACAUGUUUGUCUAGGAAACUCCCCACCCCGUGCAGCAGCACCUGGCCCCAAUCCAGGCCACGCGGAGCUCUCUGCCACCAAUCAGCCUCUCUUUUGAGAUGAUGCCGCGUGGAGCUGCCAAUGCAGCCUCACAGGAGCCUGUGCAGACAGCGGGUUGUGCUAUGCUCGCUGCCGGGCUCGUUCUUCGUGCCUGCACACCUCACACAAAUUCCCCUAACCCUCAGCCUUUCAUUUACUUAGGAUCUAACUUGGUUACGGAGGCUACUGAGAAAGAAGACGGCGACCUCCACAUGGAGGCAGGCAGAAGGGACGUCUGGCGUCUUGCUCAAGAGUGGACGGGUUCUUGUUCUUCCAAGCCGGGCUGGCGUGAGAAGGCGGAUCAGUGUUUAAUCAGGAUGUAGGAUGGCCAGUUGUGGUCUGGGAUCCUGAACAAUAGCCCUGUGCUCUUGUCACACGCAUCCCCUGUGCUGCCGCAGCCUGGGAAUAUGCAGCCACUCCUCGCGCCGUGGCUGCUGAAGUGACGGGUGACCCUCGCUCUUGAGCAGCUCAUUUUAUGACUCUAUAAGAAAUGCACUGUUCCUUGUGAUAUGGGAGAUCACAGUCCCGUGUCUUUUUCCUUUGGCCUGAUCUGUUUCUCUGUGUGUUGCAGGACCUGUCUGGCUCAAUAGAUGAUGUCCACACGGGGGCGGAAGAAGCCCUGAGUCCUGGAGUAAGCACGUCAGGGAUAUCCGGCAGUCAAGGAGAGCAGAGUAACCCAGCUCAGUCUCCUUUCUCUCCGUGUACGUCUCCUCACCUGCCAGGCAUCAGAGGACCCUCCCCAUCCCCAGUCGGGUCUCCUGCCAGCGCUGCUCAGUCCCAUUCGGAUCUGCUUUCACCUGCUGCAGUACCAGGUAAUGCUGCUUGGCGCGUGUUGAUCUUCUGGCGGGGCUGCUUCGUGUAGCUGGAGAGUGAAUUCCAAUGGCCAGUGGGGAGGAAUUGGCCCCUGUCAGCGCUGUGUGGCUCUUGAGGUCCUGUGAUCUCCUUUGUUGGCUUUAAAAUGCCUUUAACUGUUAAAGGAUGCAGUAGGAUGGGUGAGAAGGCUGGUAAAGCCACACUGUCAUCUCGCUGGGUGAGCGUGACUGAUGUUGCUCUGGUUUUCCUUCGCUGUGGCUAACAUAGCCUGCUCCCCAAGUUGUUUGUAGUUCUGGUAUUUAAUACUCUUGCCUCGUGGGCUUUGUGGUGUGGAAUUUUUGUGAUUAACCCCUCUCGUGUUUGAGCUGUAGGCAAUCAGAUGCCACCCCGACCACCCAGCAGCCAGUUGGACAGCAUCCUGCAUCCUUCCGUUCACCCGCCAAGCAAAGCGCAAGAUCACUAAAUUUUUUUAAUUUUAAAUUUUUACAUUAAUUUAGAAUUUAAUUUUAGAUAUCUUUGUAUCUCCUCAGGAGGCUCUCCUGGGCAGCCAAACUGCAACGCAUUGUCCAACGCCAACUGUGCCAGUCCGGGAACGAGAGGAAGCCUGAACCCAACGAGAGCAGAGGAAGCGGCCACCGAUGCCAUGCACACAGCUGCAACUAAAGUGGACAAUGAGGCAGACGGGACACCAAGAGCAAAAUCCAAGUCAAAGGUAAAAUGUUUUGGUUUCUAAGUUUGCAUCCCCUUUUCUGUUGAGAAGGAGACUCGAGCUGUAGGGUAGCCGAGCUGUUGGAGAGCACCCGCUCUUUGGCCUUUUGCUGGAAAAGGGAGCUGGGGAAAGUCAGUUUUCCACUUUCUUUUCCUUUCUUUAAGCAAACCUGCUUCUUUGGAGGAGAAGAUCUUAAUGCUCAGCAUUUGGGUAAACAUCUUUCUUCCUUGCUUUCUCUAGGCCUCCUGGUUAUCCCAAAACGAACCAAGGAGGAAUGACGGGCGUUGGAGCUCCUUCUGGCCAGGGAAUUAACAGUCCUGCUGGCAUGAUGAACCCCCAGGGCCUGCCCUGUGCGAUGGGUGGGAACGUGUCUAACAACUCUGCAGGUAAGCCGGGGCCGACUCUCAGGCAUUGCAUUGAUUUCAAUGUCCCGGACUGAGAAUGAGUGUUAAAGAUUCUUUUAACUUCCUAGGGAUGGCGGCAAGCCCUGAAAUGAUAGGCCUUGGGGAGGUCGAAUUAACACCUGCAAUUAAAAUGGACAAUGAGGCAGAUGGGACACCAAGAGCAAAAUCCAAGUCAAAGGCCUCCUGGUUAUCCCAAAACGAACCAAGGAGGAAUGACGGGCGUUGGAGCUCCUUCUGGCCAGGGAAUUAACAGUCCUGCUGGCAUGAUGAACCCCCAGGGCCUGCCCUGUGCGAUGGGUGGGAACGUGGCUAACAACUCUGCAGGGAUGGCGGCAAGCCCUGAAAUGAUAGGCCUUGGGGAGGUCGAAUUAACACCUGCAAUUAAAAUGGACAAUGAGGCAGAUGGGACACCAAGAGCAAAAUCCAAGUCAAAGGUAAAAUGUUUUGGUUUCUAAGUUUGCAUCCCCUUUUCUGUUGAGAAGGAGACUCGAGCUGUAGGGUAGCCGAGCUGUUGGAGAGCACCCGCUCUUUGGCCUUUUGCUGGAAAAGGGAGCUGGGGAAAGUCAGUUUUCCACUUUCUUUUACAGCCAUGUGUAUCUCUCCCGAUGCAAACGCUAGCUUAGUAAAUCUCUGUGAUUGUCCUUCUGGAAAGGAUGGCACUGACUCCUCUCCUUUGCGUUCUGCAGCUGUACUUCUUCUACAGCCCCUUCUUUGAGAGAGAGUGCCCCCUACUCCUGAGGAUGUGCAGGCAAAGCCAUGGGCAAAGAGAGUGAAGCCCGGCUGCAGCCCCACGGAGCCCAAAGCAGGGGGGCAAACGCAAAAGAAAGCAACGGGUUUAUCCUCCAGAAGUGGAAGAAGGUGUGGAGGAGGAAGAGAACAACCUCCAGUGCCACGCAGAGCCCAGCCGCACAGCGACCCGGCCGUGGACUGAUCCAGACGCUCCAAGCACCAGCGCUGGUCCAACCCCAGCCAAACGGUGCCGCAUCAACAGCCCCGAUGGCAUCCAGGAGGCAGCUCGGGUUCCAUCCGACGCUUCACCCCAGCGCUGCACACCUCCCACCUCGCCUGAUAUGGAGACCCCUCCAGGCCCAUCUUGGUGGCCCUCGUCUGCUUCCAGGCUGCAUGGCAGGAAGCGCCCCCUGCAAAUCCGGGCAGAAGAGUGUGCGAGGGAUGGACUGUCAGCACCUCGUGCUGCUCCCGUGCCACGGCCAGCACACGGCCAAAUGGCAGCAGGACCGGAGGAGAACAACCUCCAGAACCGCGCAGCCGCCAGCCCCACAACAAACGAGCCGUGGGCUGACCCAGACGCCCCGAGCACCAGUGCUGGUCCACCCCCAGCCAAACGGUGCUGCACACACAGCCCCGAUGGCGUCCAGGACGCGGAUCCGGUUCCAUCAUCACCUCCACCCCAGCGCCGCUCACCUCCUUCCCCACCAUUCUUCGUGCCUCCUCCAUACCUAGAUUGGUUGCUCAGUCUCCAUGCUGUGCAGGCACCCUGGAAUGGCCUGCUUCCAUUCCACCCUCCAGAGCCUGAGCCAGAGGAACCACCGGCACCUUCUGCCUCUCCCCCGCCAAGGCCACCGCAACGCUCAGCUGGAAGGUUCCGGCACUGCCCAACGUGCUACUGCCGACCAAACCCCUGGGCUGCCGGACAAGGGGAUGGACCUUAGUGGGGGCGGAUGAGCAAUAGCAGUGGUCUAGGAGACCGAAUGGUAUUGUAGAUGUAGAAACAUGUUUGUCUAGGAAACUCCCCACCCCGUGCAGCAGCACCUGGCCCCAAUCCAGGCCACGCGGAGCUCUCUGCCACCAAUCAGCCUCUCUUUUGAGAUGAUGCCGCGUGGAGCUGCCAAUGCAGCCUCACAGGAGCCUGUGCAGACAGCGGGUUGUGCUAUGCUCGCUGCCGGGCUCGUUCUUCGUGCCUGCACACCUCACACAGAUUCCCCUAACCCUCAGCCUUUCAUUUACUUAGGAUCUAACUUGGUUACGGAGGCUACUGAGAAAGAAGACGGCGACCUCCACAUGGAGGCAGGCAGAAGGGACGUCUGGCGUCUUGCUCAAGGGUGGACGGGUUCUUGUUCUUCCAAGCCGGGCUGGCGUGAGAAGGCGGAUCAGUGUUUAAUCAGGAUGUAGGAUGGCCAGUUGUGGUCUGGGAUCCUGAACAAUAGCCCUGUGCUCUUGUCACACGCAUCCCCUGUGCUGCCGCAGCCUGGGAAUACGCAGCCACUCCUCGCGCCGUGGCUGCUGAAGUGACGGGUGACCCUCGCUCUUGAGCAGCUCAUUUUAUGACUCUAUAAGAAAUGCACUGUUCCUUGUGAUAUGGGAGAUCACAGUCCCGUGUCUUUUUCCGUUGGCCUGAUCUGUUUCUCUGUGUGUUGCAGGACCUGUCUGGCUCAAUAGAUGAUGUCCACACGGGGGCGGAAGGAGCCCUGAGUCCUGGAGUAAGCACGUCAGGGAUAUCCGGCAGUCAAGGAGAGCAGAGUAACCCAGCUCAGUCUCCUUUCUCUCCGUGUACGUCUCCUCACCUGCCAGGCAUCAGAGGACCCUCCCCAUCCCCAGUCGGGUCUCCUGCCAGCGCUGCUCAGUCCCAUUCGGAUCUGCUUUCACCUGCUGCAGUACCAGGAGGUUCUCCUGGGCAGCCAAACUGCAACGCAUUGUCCAACGCCAACUGUGCCAGUCCGGGAACGAGAGGAAGCCUGAACCCAACGAGAGCAGAGGAAGCGGCCACCGAUGCCAUGCACACAGCUGCAACUAAAGUGGACAAUGAGGCAGACGGGACACCAAGAGCAAAAUCCAAGUCAAAGGCCUCCUGGUUAUCCCAAAACGAACCAAGGAGGAAUGACGGCGUUGGAGCUCCUUCUGGCCAGGGAAUUAACAGUCCUGCUGGCAUGAUGAACCCCCAGGGCCUGCCCUGUGCGAUGGGUGGGAACAUGUCUAACAACUCUGCAGGAAUGGCGGCAAGCUCUGAAAUGAUAGGCCUUGGGGAGGUCGAAUUAACACCUGCAAUUAAAAUGGACAAUGAGGCAGACGGGACACCAAGAGCAAAAUCCAAGUCAAAG